AACGUAGCUGACGCUAUUGAAUGAAAAUCUUCAGUUGUUGGUACCUUUCUCUCUUUCCCUUUCACACUCACUUUCUCACUUGUUAAUUCUCGCGAAGAAUCAAUCUUCACACAUCACUGUGUAUCCACUGUAACUAGUUUCAACAUACCUAUUGCAAGCAGAACCUGUCCACAAUGUUUCUUAGUUUUUGUUCUAUCUGCAAAACAUGAUCAACUAGGACUCAUUCACCAUCGUUAUACUUCAUUUUCCUACUUCAAUCAUGGCUUCACUUCUGAAUACUGUGUCACCAGCUGCAAAUUUAUCCCCCAAAACAAAACGACCCACUUGUGGCGGUUUCUUGCACUCCCAGGUUCCGAAUCUCCACACUUUUUCCAUGAACAAGGGUUUUUCUAGGGUUUCGGCUUCGACCCAGAUUGCCAUUACCCCAAAAGAUGCGGUUUUUAAUCUCCCCAAUUGGAGAGGUGGGAGGAAUGACCCUAGGGGCAAAGAGCUAAAGGUCUAUGAUGCAUUUCUCCAUUUAGAGUAUUUGGUGGGUAAGGGCCAAAAGCCAGAGGUGACUCAAGCAACUCAGCUUUUGUAUGAUCUUUGCAAGUUUAACAAAGCUAGAAAGGCUGUUAAGGUGAUGGAUAUGAUGGUUGAUUCAGGUAUUAUACCUGAUGCAGCCUCUUAUACAUACUUGGUCAAUUUUUUAUGCAGGAGAGGCAAUGUUGGGUAUGCUCUUCAGUUGGUUGAGAAGAUGGAGGGGCAUGGUCUUCCAACUAAUACUGUUACCUAUAACACUCUUGUUAAAGGCCUUUGCAUGCAUGGUAACUUGAAGCAGAGCUUGCAGCUUUUGGAUAAGUUGAGAAAGAAGGGCUUGGUUCCAAAUGCAUUCACAUUUUCUUUCCUUCUCCAAGCGGCUUACAAGGAAAGGGGAGUGGAUGAGGCCAUGAAGCUUCUUGAUGAGAUAAUUGCCAAGGGUGGAGAGCCUAAUUUGGUUAGUUACAAUGUGCUGUUAACUGGGUUGUGCAAGGAAGAGAGAACUGAAGAAGCUAUCAGGCUUUUCAGGGAAUUGCCUGCAAAAGGGUUCAGUCCUAGUGUUGUGAGUUACAACAUUUUGCUGAGGAGUUUGUGCUAUGAAGGGCGAUGGGAGGAAGCUAACGAACUUCUUGCAGAGAUGGAUAAAAGGGACCAGUCUCCCUCGGUGGUCACUUACAACAUAUUGAUUACUUCACUUUCAUUUCACGGAAGAACAGAACAAGCUUUUCAGGUUUUGGAUGAAAUGACAAGGAGUGGAUUCAAGGUGAGUGCUACUAGCUAUAAUCCGAUUGUUGCACGACUCUGCAAGGAAGGGAAAGUGGAUCUUGUUGUUCAAUGCAUAGACCAAAUGAUUCACAGGCGUUGUAAUCCUAAUGAUGGAACGUAUUGCGCUGUUGCAAUGCUGUGUGAGCAAGGUAAAGUGCAGGAGGCUUUUUUUAUAAUCCAAAGCAUGAGUAAUAAACAAAGCAACCCUAUCCAUGAUUUUUACAAAAACGUGAUUGCAAGCCUGUGUAGGAAAGGGAACACAUAUGCAGCUUUUCAGAUGUUAUAUGAAAUGACAAAAUAUGGAUUUACUCCAGAUUCAUUUACUUAUUCAUCUAUGAUAAGAGGAAUGUGUAGGGAGGGAAUGCUAGAUGAGGCUCUUAAGGUAUUCAGUAUUUUGGAAGAAAAUGAACACGUUCCUAAUAUUGAUAACUACAACGCACUUAUACUUGGAUUUUGCAAAGCUCGGAGAACAGACAUGUCAAUAGAGAUAUUUCUGAUGAUGGUUAACAAAGGAUGUGUGCCUAAUGAGAAUACCUAUACCAUUCUUGUGGAAGGACUUGCUUUUGAAGAGAAGACAGAUAUAGCUGCAGACCUGUUGAAAGAGUUGUGUGGGAAGGAGGUUCUGAGCCAAAGUACUGUUGAAAGGCUUUGUAUGCAAUUCGACUUCAAGGAAUUAAUAGCAGCAGAAUAGUGACAUAUACCCCUAACAGAAAGUAGGUAGGCCUAUGACUGCCUUCAGAUGUUAAUUAGUUAACAAGCUUGAAUGUUAGAACACGUAACCAUCUCUAUCAUUCUUCGGCUAUCUCCUUUGAUCUACAAGAAACUGAACUGUACAAUACCCUGUGUGGGUUCCAUAUCAGACAAUUGUUAAGAGAGUUUGAAAUACAUCUCAUCAGUAAUUUACAAACUAGCUCGUGGUGGUUCGUUGUGGCUUCAAACCUGGUGGAUUUCGUAAAGAUUCACAGUGGUCAGACAACGAGAAUUGUGUUUGUUGGGGCUUAGAACCUGUAGUUGUCAUAUGAAUUAACUUCUACUGAUGCCAUAUUAACUCUAUUUUUAGUCGAACAUUGUAAAUGCUCUGGAACAUCUUUUUAAUAAACAUAAAGUGUUAGUUUAA